rnacentral:rRNA from 1 species
AUUGAACGCUGGCGGCAGGCUUAACACAUGCAAGUCGAACGAGUGGCGGACGGGUGAGUAAUGAUUGGGAAUCUAGCUUAUGGAGGGGGAUAACUACGGGAAACAGUAGCUAAUACCGCGUACCAUAGGCUGAGCCCAUGUGGGAUUAGGUAGUUGGGGAGGUAAAGGCUCACCAAGCCGACGAUCUGUAGAUGUUCUUAGAGGAUGACAAGCCACCCUGGGACUGAGACACGGCCCAGACUCAUACGGGAGGCAGCAGUGGGGAAGAUUGCGCAAUGGGGGAAACCUGAUGCAGCCAUGCCGCGUGAAUGAAGAAGGCCUUCGGGUUGUAAAGUUCUUGUGGUAGAGAGGCGUUAACUACAGAAGAAGCACCGGCUAACUCCGUGCCAGCAGCCGCGGUAAUUC